rnacentral:rRNA from 1 species
GAUGAACGCUGGCGGCGUGCCUAAUACAUGCAAGUCGAGCGAACAGACGAGGAGCUUGCUCCUCUGACGUUAGCGGCGGACGGGUGAGUAACACGUGGAUAACCUACCUAUAAGACUGGGAUAACUUCGGGAAACCGGAGCUAAUACCGGAUAAUAUAUUGAACCGCAUGGUUCAAUAGUGAAAGACGGUUUUGCUGUCACUUAUAGAUGGAUCCGCGCCGCAUUAGCUAGUUGGUAAGGUAACGGCUUACCAAGGCAACGAUGCGUAGCCGACCUGAGAGGGGGAUCGGCCACACUGGAACUGAGACACGGUCCAGACUCCGACGGGAGGCAGCAGUAGGGAAUCUUCCGCAAUGGGCGAAAGCUUGACGGAGCAACGCCGCGUGAGUGAUGAAGGUCUUCGGAUCGUAAAACUCUGUUAUUAGGGAAGAACAAAUGUGUAAGUAACUAUGCACGUCUUGACGGUACCUAAUCAGAAAGCCACGGCUAACUACGU